rnacentral:misc_RNA from 1 species
AACGCACAUUGCGCCCCUUGGUAUUCCGAGGGGCAUGCCUGUUCGAGCGUCAUUUCAACCCUCAAGCACUGCUUGGUAUUGGGCCUGGCCUAGAGAGGCCAGCCUUAAACCCAGUGGCGGCGCCAUCUGGCUCUAAGCGUAGUAAUUCUCUCGCUAUGGGGUUCUUGUGGAUGCUUGCCAAAACCUUCAUUUUCUAUGGUUUGACCUCGGAUCAGGUAGGGAUACCCGCUGAACUUAA